AUAAAUAAAUAAAGUAUAUAUGGCCUACUAUACUUGCAAGAGAAUAUUCAGCAAGAAUUGGGGCCUCAAACCUAGUACGAAUAUAAUCAUGUGGAUGUAUACGGCUGUCAUAAGACCUAUACUUACAUAUGGAGCUCUGGUAUGGUGGUCAGCGCUAAACGAACAAUACAACAUUAGAAAAUUAAAUGGAAUACAAAGAGCAGCAUGUGCAGAUGUUACUGGUGCAAUCAAGUCAUGUCCGACUGACGCGCUCAAUGUGGUCCUGCAUCAACUACCCAUAGAUAUCUUUAUUCACAAAACAGCAGCAUUUUCGACUAUAAGAAUAAAAUAAUUGGGUGGUUGGAAUCAGCAGAACUAUGGACAUAGUGGAAUCCUAAACAAGCUUAACACUAAUAAAUCAAACUACAUUCUCCCAAAGCUGGAUUUCAAUAGACACUUCCAUGUGAGGAUAUCCUCUAGACGAGAAUCGAGAAGAGGCUCAGUAGAGGAGGAAGAUACCAUCUCAGUUUAUACCAACGGGUCCAAAAUGGUCCACAACUGCAAGAAAACACUAAGCGCAAUAAAAGAUAACCUCCAACUAGGCUUGAUCUGGGUUCCCGGCCACAGGAACAUUUUCGGCAACGAAAAGUAGACGAGGCGGAGAUAACACCAAGCCCGCUAGGAUCGAUCAAAAGAGAGAUCAAUAGACAAUUUCAACAAGUUGCAAACAACAUAUGACAGGAAAAGAACUAACGACCUAUUAAAUAGGUCUAGGAAAAGUAUCUACAGAGUAACAGCUCCUAUAACAGGGCACUGACCAUUUGGAGAACAUGCGUCCAAAAUGGGUAUGCCCUACAACAACAUCUGCCGAGAGUGCGGAAUAGCAGGGAACACGGAAACAAUUUUCCACUUUCUCUUUUAAUGCCCAGCCCUAUCUCAGAUCCGACACAAAACACUUGGAAUCCAUCAAGCACCAACCCUUGAAUGGAUUUCCACUAAAAGCAUAUCGGACAUAAGUAUUUUUAUCGAAACCUCAAAAUGGUUUGAAAGAGAAGGUUCAACGUGAUCGCAGAUACAGAAGGUCUACGAAUAGCACAGCAAAUUGACACAACAAGUGCUAAUUGAGCCCGAAGCACAACAGAGCUGCACUUCUAGCUACCUACCUAGGAUUGGAUAACAAUUCAAAUUUGUAUAUUUAAAGUUUCAAAUAUGGAGGAAGAGAUUUAUUCAGAAAUUCAAACUUCAAUAAUCAAACGGGGGCGGAAAAUUAAAGCAAAAUGAACAGCGGAAGAGACCGAGCGGCUGAUCCAAGAAGUAAAGUCCAGGGAGGGAACAUGGAAUUUUCUUUCCCAUGGUUAUAGAGAUCGAAAUUUGCGAGGAGCUCAGUGGAAUGAAGUAGCAGACAUAUUAAAUAUGCAUUGAUCAGAAGUAGCAGCCAAAUGGAACAUCCUUCACUGCUCUUUUCGCGCGGCCUUCAACCGAAAGGCACAUACAAAAAGUGGUCAAGGUGCUGGAAGAACGCCUACAGUGAACCCAGUUUUUAAUUCUUUAAAGUUCCUGGAGCCCACCUUGCGUGUUGAUGCGAACACGACA